GACAGAGGAGCCAAGCGUUGUCCGGAUUGACUGGGCGUAAAGCGCACGCAGGCGGUUGCGGGCGUCGGUACUGACAGUUCGCCGCUUAACGGCGAGACGCGUACCGAUACGCCGCGACUCGAGCCCGUGAGAGGUCCGUGGAAUUGCCGGUGUAGUGGUGAAAUGCGUAGAGAUCGGCAGGAACGCCAAAGGAGAAAUCAACGGACUGGCACGGUGCUGACGCUGAUGUGCGAAAGCGUGGGGAGCGAACGGG
rnacentral:rRNA from 1 species